rfam:Populus trichocarpa isolate Nisqually-1 chromosome 1, whole genome shotgun sequence.
UAAUCUGUUUGGGUUGGAUCCAUAUCUGGUAAUAUUAGAUCCUCACUUGAUUGCUUAGAACUUUAUAUUUCUACUAGCUUGGUUGCAUCACUAUACGUAGAAAAAACUAUAGUUGAAAUUUUAGUAAAAAAUAUGGAAUUGAAA